CAGGGAAGAAGGCUAGGGGCUACCUAACUGCUUUAAUUCAGAAUGCUUUUUGUCUGGUUUUGACAUAAGAAACAUAUGAAAAAUUUACAUACUCUGUUUAUUACUUUUCUAGAGGAUUAACGUCAGUCACUGCAUUGCUGGAUUGCAGUGUUAUGUGUAGGGCAAUUUAGAGUUAGAACAUCAGAGCAACACCUUGAUAAACCAAGUCAGUGCACUAGGGAGGAUGAUACAUUAAGCUCCAUUUUAAGGCAGUGUCCAUUCUUAGCUAGUACCACUGACCCCUAAAAGACUGUCCCUGCAGCCUGGGGUUUUUGUAUAGUUUAUUUUCUUAAUGAAGACACAAAUGCAAAGGAGAUCCCUGUUCUUAACCGAAGGUGAGAGUAACCUCCAGUCUUAAGCUUCCUGCUUUGUUUUCUGUAAAAGGAGAUAGUAUGAAAAUCGCAGGUGAAAAAUCCAUAUCCUGGCAAAAAGAAGAGGCAGCUGGGAUGGUCAGUAAUAAAAGUUCUUGGCCAUACAGAGGUUGCCAUCAAACAGCUGAGCUACUGGCAGCUUACUUUAUUGUUAAAUUGAGUGUCUAGAUCACAAAGGCUAACGUUACAAAGGAAGAUGUCAGAAGUCUUUAACUUUGCAUAUCAUUGUGGGGUCAUCAGAGAUGAACCUAAAUGUUCUUAUUUAGGAGUUUUGAAGAACUAUCUAAGGAUCUGCUCUCCACUGUCUGUCAAGGAGAUUCCUGGCAAUUAUCUUUAAAUCUUUUCUGUGAUGCAGCUGUGGUAUCUGGUGUCUGCUGAUUGUUAAGAGGUGUUUUCCCCGCUUCUGAACCAAGUCACCACCUCCUUUGUCUGAAACUGUAUCAGGCUGGAACAUAAAGAUCUUACUUAUUUAUAAAACAGGAACUUUCCAGAAAGAGGAAGAGGGAUCCAAGGAGGAAGCCCUGCGCUAGACAUGCUCUAUUACCUCGGUCAUGUACACAGUGAGUGGCAAAAGAAGAUAAUGAUCAGACAGAUGUGGAAUACUGAGUGCAGCUGUCAUUACCGUGAGGAGCUCUAGGCACCCAAAGUCAACUAACCGAUCUUCCUGCCCUUGACCCAGCUGCAGCUGUAGUUUUGUUUGAACAUCUGUUUGGGGAGGAGCCACAAGAGUCAAGUAUUGAAAAAUCAUUUGUUCUCCUUAAGGAAUUGGUCCCGGUUUGUGGAGCCGGAUAUUCUGAUGAGCCAGCUGUGGUCCAGUCAGAAGACAUAAGAGCUCCUUCUGCAAACCAUGAAAGAGUUCUCACUCCUUUCCUCACAGUGUUACAGGCUCGCUAGGACCUUGUAAGUGUAGAUUGCAGAGCUAAGUCCACACCUGGACUCCUGAAAGCAGGGUUAUCCUUAUUACUUGUUUGAGUAAACUGGCUUUGUCAAGUUGCAUAGCCAGGUGUCCAGAAGAUAAAUUCUUAACAAAAUGAUUUACAGAGGUUUAUCUCAGAGUUAAGCCAGGACUUUCAAUGAGAAAUGUAUUUUUCUUUACAUAUUAUGCUUCUUUCUUGAAACUUAGCAAUUAUAUUAUCAAUCACCUGU